rnacentral:rRNA from 1 species
GGCGAACGCUGGCGGCGUGCCUAAUACAUGCAAGUUGAGCGCUGAAGGUUGGUACUUGUACCAACUGGAUGAGCAGCGAACGGGUGAGUAACGCGUGGGGAAUCUGCCUUUGAGCGGGGGACAACAUUUGGAAACGAAUGCUAAUACCGCAUAAAAACUUUAAACACAAGUUUUAAGUUUGAAAGAUGCAAUUGCAUCACUCAAAGAUGAUCCCGCGUUGUAUUAGCUAGUUGGUGAGGUAAAGGCUCACCAAGGCGAUGAUACAUAGCCGACCUGAGAGGGUGAUCGGCCACAUUGGGACUGAGACACGGCCCAAACUCCUACGGGAGGCAGCAGUAGGGAAUCUUCGGCAAUGGAGGAAAGUCUGACCGAGCAACGCCGCGUGAGUGAAGAAGGUUUUCGGAUCGUAAAACUCUGUUGGUAGAGAAGAACGUUGGUGAGAGUGGAAAGCUCAUCAAGUGACGGUAACUACCCAGAAAGGGACGGCUAACUACGUG